UGGGGAAUAUUGCACAAUGGGCGCAAGCCUGAUGCAGCAACGCCGCGUGAACGAUGAAGGUCUUCGGAUCGUAAAGUUCUGUUGCAGGGGAAGAUAAUGACGGUACCCUGUGAGGAAGCCCCGGCUAACUACGUGCCAGCAGCCGCGGUAAUACGUAGGGGGCUAGCGUUAUCCGGAUUUACUGGGCGUAAAGGGUGCGUAGGUGGUCCUUCAAGUCGGUGGUUAAAGGCUACGGCUCAACCGUAGUAAGCCGCCGAAACUGGAGGACUUGAGUGCAGGAGAGGAAAGUGGAAUUCCCAGUGUAGCGGUGAAAUGCGUAGAUAUUGGGAGGAACACCAGUAGCGAAGGCGGCUUUCUGGACGACAACUGACGCUUAGGCGCGAAAGCGUGGGGAGCAAACAGG
rnacentral:rRNA from 1 species